rnacentral:rRNA from 1 species
CUGCAACUCGCCUGCAUGAAGUCGGAAUUGCUAGUAGUCGCGGAUCAGCAUGCCGCGGUGAAUACGUUCUCGGGCCUUGUACACACCGCCCGUCACACCAUGGGAGUCGGUAACACCCGAAGUCUGUAGCCUGACGCAAGAGGGCGCAGCCGAAGGUGGGAUUGAUGACUGGGGUGAAGUCGUAACAAGGUAAC